rnacentral:rRNA from 1 species
UACGUAGGGGGCAAGCGGUUGUCCGGAUUCAUUGGGCGUAAAGAGCGUGAGUAGGCGGCCAGGUAGGUCGGUUGUGAAAACUGGAGGCUCAACCUUCAGAGGUCGACCGAAACCAUCUGGCUAGAGUCCGGGAGAGGAGAGUGGAAUUCCUGGUGUAGCGGUGAAAUGCGCAGAUAGUCAGGAAGAACACCCGUGGCGAAAGCGGCUCUCUGGAACGGUACUGACGCUGAGACGCGAAAGCGUGGGGAGCGAACAGG